rnacentral:rRNA from 1 species
GGCUCAGAACGAACGCUGGCGGCGUGGAUAAGACAUGCAAGUCGAACGGGAUAUUAUUUGUAGCAAUACAAAUGAUGUCCAGUGGCGUAAGGGUGCGUAACACGUGGGGAAUCUGCCGAGAAGUGGGGGAUAGCUCGUCGAAAGGCGAAUUAAUACCGCAUGUGGUUAGGGAAGACAUCUUUCCGAUACCAAAGCCGGGGCAACCUGGCGCUUCUUGAUGACCCCGCGGCCUAUCAGCUAGUUGGUGAGGUAACGGCUCACCAAGGCUAUGACGGGUAGCUGGUCUGAGAGGACGACCAGCCACACUGGAACUGAGACACGGUCCAGACACCUACGGGUGGCAGCAGUCGAGAAUUUUUCUCAAUGGGGGAAACCCUGAAGGAGCGACGCCGCGUGGAGGAUGAAGGUCUUCGGAUUGUAAACUCCUGUCAUUUGGGAACAAUGUGCAGUCGUUAACUGCGAUUGCAUUGAUAGUACCAGAAGAGGAAGAGACGGCUAACUCUGUGCCAGCAGCCGCGGUAAUACAGAGGUCUCAAGCGUUGUUCGGAUUCAUUGGGCGUAAAGGGUGCGUAGGUGGCGCCAUAAGUCAGGUGUGAAAUCUCGGGGCUCAACCCCGAAACUGCACUUGAUACUGUGGUGCUCGAGUACUGGAGAGGAGAUUGGAAUUUACGGUGUAGCAGUGAAAUGCGUAGAUAUCGUAAGGAAGACCAGUGGCGAAGGCGAAUCUCUGGACAGUUACUGACACUGAGGCACGAAGGCCAGGGGAGCAAACGGGAUUAGAUACCCCGGUAGUCCUGGCAGUAAACGGUGCGCGUUUGGUGUGGGAGGAUUCGACCCCUUCUGUGCCGGAGCUAACGCGUUAAACGCGCCGCCUGGGGAGUACG